GGCCCCUCUCACCCCGUGUCCCCCCUCGUCCCCAGAACAUGCCGCAGCCCAUCCCCUACCCGCAGAGCCACCUGCCGAUGAUGGAGCAGCCGCCAACCUUCCACCCGACCGUUCCCUUCGUGGCCACCAUCCCGGGGGGGCUCAUGCCCAAGAAAACCAUUGUGGUGAAGGGCUACAUCCCGCCCGAUGCCAACAGCUCUCCAUCCGCUGCGGGAACCAGCGCUUCAAGGUGUUCGCCCAGGGGCAGCCGCUCUUCACCUUCGCCCACCGGGUGCCGCCCGGGCCCCACGUCGACACCCUGGAGGUGGAGGGCGACGUCGUCCUCUCCUACGUCCACUUCUGAGCCCCCCCAGCAGCCCCACGGCGCAGCCCCCAGCCAGCCCCAGAGCUCGCCCCAGCCCCAGGGUUCACCCCCUAGCCAGCCCCACAGUUCAGCCCAUAGCCAGCCCCAUAGCUCACCCCAGCCCCAUAGAGCAGCCCAGAAUCAGCCCCGCAGCCAGCCCCAUACCUGGCCCCAUAGCCAGGCACACAGCUCACCCCAUAGCCGGCCCCAUAGCUCACCCCAUAGGGUGUCACAUCACCUGCCCCAUAGCCAGCCCCACAGCUUGCCCUAUAGCACAGUCCAUAGCCUGCCCCAUAGCCCACCCCAUAGCCAGCUCCAUAGCUCACCCCAUAGCCGGCCCCAUAGCCCACCCCAUAGCAUGUCACAUCACCUGCCCCAUAGCCAGCCCCACAGCUUGCCCUAUAGCACAGUCCAUAGCCUGCCCCAUAGCCCACCCCAUAGCCAGCUCCAUAGCUCACCCCAUAGCCGGCCCCAUAGCCCACCCCAUAGCAUGUCACAUCACCUGCCCCAUAGCCAGCCCCACAGCUUGCCCUAUAGCACAGUCCAUAGCCUGCCCCAUAGCCCACCCCACAGCUCUCCCCAUAGCCUGCCCAUAACUCACCCCAUAGCGCAGCCCCACAGCAGCUCCAUAGCCCACCCCAUAGCCGGCCCCACGGCAACGCCAUUGCCUGCGUCCGCUGCUGACCCCAAUAAAGCUGUCGUUGCACACGCGCCUCCACCAGUGCUGCCUCCCUGCCCCACGGCCGGGCCCGUGUCCGUCCAACGCCAAGGGGGGGGCUGGGGACAGGGAUGGAUGUGGGGACAGAUGUGGGGCCGGGGUAACCCUGCCCCCAGCCCCCGUGUGGCCCCCAUGGUCCCGGCCCCAUCAUGGCCCCAUGGCCAUCCCAGCCCCACCAUCCUGUUCCCCAUCAUGUCCCCAUGCUCCCAUCCCUGUCCCCAGCCCGGCUCCAGGGUCCCAUCCUUGUCCUUGUCCCCAUCCCGGCUCCACAGCCUGGCCCCGUGGUCCCAUCCCUGUCUGUGUCCCCCAUCCCAUCCCCAUGGUCCUGUCCCCAUCUCCAGCACAGGUCCACGGUCCCAUCCCUGUCCCGCUCUCCAUCCUGGCCCUGUACCUGUCCCCAUGGUCCCGUCACCAUCCCCAUCCUUGUCCCUGUCCUGUCCCCAUGCUCCUGUCCCCACAGUCUCAUCCCUGUCCCCAUCCCUGUCCCCAUGGUCCUGUCCCCACAGUCUCAUCCCUGUCCCCAUGGUCUCAUCCCCAUCCCUGUCCCCAUGGUCCUGUCCCCACAGUCUCAUCCCUGUCCCCAUCCCCAUGGUCUCAUCCCCAUCCUGGUCCCCUCCCCGCCAGCGGCUCCCCCCCCUCCGCCAACCCCCGAGACAGAGACGCGGCCCAUCGCCCUUAAAAAUAUGACACGUUUUAUUGCCCUGCGCCGGGGAGCGCGGGGGCCCCGCACGGCGUCCCCAACGUCCCCGCGCGUCCCCAGGCGUCCCCGGGGCCGGCGGUACAGCUCUCCGCAACAACCUCAAUUACACGACAAAGAAACCCGGUAACAUAUGCUGCUAGGUGAAUAUAUAUUUAUAUAAUAAAUCCGUAAGUUAAUAAAGUAAAUAGGAACCU
rnacentral:lncRNA from 1 species